UACGUAGGGGGGCUAGCGUUGUCCGGAAUCAUUGGGCGUAAAGCGCGCGUAGGCGGCCAGAUAAGUCCGGUGUGAAAGCCACAGGCUCAACCUGUGAAUGCCGCUGGAAACUGUCUGGCUAGAGUCCGGGAGGGGCGAGUGGAAUUCCUGGUGUAGCGGUGAAAUGCGCAGAUAUCAGGAGGAACACCAAUGGCGAAGGCGGCAUCCUGGACCGGUAUUGACGCUGAGGAGCGAAAGCUAGGGGAGCAAACAGG
rnacentral:rRNA from 1 species